AUCUUGUAGCAAAUGAUGCUUAUUCACAAGCACAUAUCUGAGUUGUGGCUGAUGUGUAGAACUGUACUGAUGCUGCAGGAA